rnacentral:lncRNA from 1 species
AACCUGCUAGUAGAGGGUGACCCUUAGUCCUUCGGAACGACAUUUCAGUGGAUCUAUACAACUAAUGUCUGUACCCGUGGCAUGAUACUGACACCCUUUCAACUGGGGUUACAGGUUAGAACCCAAUCCAUUUAGAGAGGGGCAUGUCGGUGAUGAUCUCCCACAAUUUCAGUUUCAGUCUCAAUAUAGAACUCAGUUAGUUCUACGGAACCAGAAAUAUCAGACACAGUCACUCAGUAUUAGUAAUUUAGUUAUUAGUAAUCUCAUAUAUUAGUUACUCAGUAUCAGAAAUCAGUAGUCAACUUCCGUAAAAGCUUAGAUACAUUAUACAUGUAUAUGUGUAGUAUUGCAUACUCAUCAUUUUACAGUAGUUUUGGGUAUCCAUGUACUCCUAUUGUUUUAUCCCUUUUCGGGUUUCUUUUGGCGAGAAAAUAAUUUUGACCUCUUAAGACUAUUUCAAAAUAUUUAAGAAAAUUUUGAAAUAGUUUUAAGAAAAUUCACAGAAUCGCCACUUGAUUUUUGUAGAAAAAUCAAGAAAAAUUUUAAAAGAGUUUCAAAGGUUCAAAAACAGCAAUAAACCUUUAAAACUAGAGAUAAUGGGUAAGGGUUCAAUUAACGCCCUAAGAAGGUUUUUAAGGCACUUAGAAGCGUCCGUUUAAAACGGUGUACCAAAAAGAACUAACUUGGAUAAUUAAAGUGGCUAAUUUUGCAAAAGGUUAAUCUUUGUAAAUACUUGAUUUUAUAGAAAAUAAUAAGAUUAAUUAUUUAACAUUUAAACAUGACAUUUAUUUGUUCAAAGGUGAAAAUAAAUUAUUUUGAACUGAACUAAAUUAUAAAUUAUUUUAUUUUUCUUAUUAUUAACCGUUAUAAAAAAAAAAUAAAAAGUUGAUUGUAUUAGAAAUAACACCUUUGAGAAAUGUUAAGAGAGUGUCGAAUUAAAAACCUUUAUUAAUUAUGAUAAGUCGAAAUUUAUAAAAAAAAUUAGUUUCUUGAGUUUAAAAGGAGCUAUCUUUGAUUCAAAUAGACUAUUUAGUUAUAUUAAGUGAGAAAAUCAUGAAUCGACUUAAAUACGUGAUAAAAUAAAAUGGUAACGACUUAGGGGAUUUAUCUAGAUUAAUUAAUUAAUUUAAUAUGUUAGUUAGCACAAAUAAACAAUAUAAGUUACAAAAAUGAUGAGAGAAUUAAAAUUGGGCCCUCAAUUGGCCCAUUAAUGAAGCUGCCCAAUUUUGGGCUUAAAUUAUGGACUUCAGUCCAUUUUCCUGAAGUGUAUAUCAGUUGUAUACUGACUGUAUAUCAAGCCCUAUUGCUGCUGCAUUUUUGUAUACGCAUUGUAUAUCUGUGUAUAAAUGCUGUAUGCUCGCUUCCACUUUUAAUAUACGCCAUUAUCAGCUGCUUUCCACUGUACACAAACUGUAUCUAAGUGUAUAUCCCAUGUAUAUCAGUCCAGUUUUGAACUUUAAGGCUUGACUCGAGAUAUUGUGGGUGAACGCAAUGAUAGGGGAAGUUCCAUUGGACUCGUUCAAGAUGGAUUCAUGCAAAAUAAAGAAAAGACAAGGAAUUAGUAGUACUCAAAUUAAACCACUGAAUGAAAUUCAAGGAUAGUGUGUGAACUCGUAAUAUAUUAAAUCAAACAUUUAAAUUUGGUCAAUUCACCAUAUUUGUAAACAAGACAGAAAAAUUCCUUUCAUGAUGAUUUUUCCUUUAAAGCUUUUCACUAAAUCACCACCUUCUAAACUAUGAACAAAACAUCUGUUACAAAGUUAAGGGAACACAACAAAUCUUAUUUCUUGACUCAUUUGAAACAUUGAAUAGAACAUACAUAUAUGUAUAUAAAUUUUUUAUUCAACGGCUAGACAAAAUAAAAUUAUUUUAUUCCAAAAUAGAAUUAAAAGAGAAAGAACGAAAAAAAAAGAACUUGACUUAAACAUACUAAAAUCACGAUCUACUUAUGAACUUAUUUCUAUAGGCAAGAGAAAGAAAAUUAAACUGAAUAAAAUAAGAACAAUUCCAGGCACAAAAAAAAUUUCACUGAAACUUGUAAAACAGAUAUCAAAAACACAUUGAAUUAGAACGAAAUAAAAAGAGUAUUGCCUCUUUCGGAGCAGCGAACGGAACAACGAGUGGACGACUUCAAACCGGUGUUUCUUCGAGAAUUUUUGGUUGCGUAGGAUUAGAAGUAUGCGUCUCCCAAAUCCUUAAAUUUUUUCCCCAAAAAAUCUCCCUUUUCCUUCUGUUUUCAAUGGGUAUUUAUAGAAGAUUUUUGGGACUGAGGGAUUUCUAAAAAAUUUUAAAAUUUGAAAUUGGGUAACCGUUGGUACUGAGCUGAAGUUGCAGCUAUUGUUGACUGGCGAUGUUUGAAAGUCGUGGUUGAUAUUAUUGUUGUACCUACUAGGAUUGUCGGCUAUUACUACUGUUGAUAUGUUGAAUUAUUGUUGCUGCUAAUCGAAUGAUUUUUCUGGGUGUGUUUGUCUUUGCUUUGGUGAAGAAAAGGAGGUGGGGCCGG